CCAUUAUAAAAAAUGGUCUUCAGCAAUGUGUUACCACGUGAAAAACAUGUCGCUAAAAAGGAAACACUUAAAAUAAAACAAAAAAUGAAAAUUAAGUUUUCACAUUGGGAAAUUUUAAAAUUUACAACAAAAAAAAGACGUUGUGAUGUGGAAAAAAACGUCGAUAAGCCAUUUUAAAAAUUAAAAAAUAUAUAUAUUGGGCAAAA
rnacentral:lncRNA from 1 species